GAUGAACGCUAGCGGGAGGCCUAACACAUGCAAGCCGAGCGGUAGAGUUUCUUCGGAAACUUGAGAGCGGCGCACGGGUGCGUAACACGUGUGCAACCUACCUUUAUCUGGGGGAUAGCCUUUCGAAAGGAAGAUUAAUACCCCAUAAUAUAAUGAUUGGCAUCAAUUAUUAUUGAAAACUCCGGUGGAUAGAGAUGGGCACGCGCAAGAUUAGAUAGUUGGUGAGGUAACGGCUCACCAAGUCAAUGAUCUUUAGGGGUCCUGAGAGGGAGAUCCCCCACACUGGGACUGAGACACGGACCAGACUCCUACGGGAGGCAGCAGUGAGGAAGAGUGUACAAGGAGUGAGAGCCUGAUCCAGCCAGCCCGCGUGAAGGAUGACGGUCCUAUGGAUGGUAAACUUCUUUUGUACAGGGAUAAACCUACCCUCGGGAGGGUAGCUGAAGGUACUGUACGAAUAAGCACCGGCUAACUCCGUG
rnacentral:rRNA from 1 species